ACAGUGGACAGUGGUCUGUUGGGAUAUGAAUGAACCGCUCCGCUCUGCUGCUGUUGAAGCUGCCUGUGAAAAUCCUAGCUUUAUACAGUCUACGCU